rnacentral:misc_RNA from 1 species
GAGUUCGCGGGAGAGUAGGUUAUUGCCAGGGUUUUUGUUUUUAUGCUUUUAACUUUGAUUUUAUUUUUGCGUUUUUAAAUAUUAGUGUUUUUGAAUGUGUUAUUUAAAUAACAUAAAAAAUGAAAUAUAUAUUGACAUGUAUUAAACAAAGAUAUAUAUUACUUUAUGUUGCAUAAACAAAUUGGCAAAAUAGAGAUGGAAGAUAAAAAUAUGGUCAAAGUAAUAAGAGUCUAUGGUGAAUGCC